rnacentral:rRNA from 1 species
GUUGACCUCGGAUCAGUAGGGAUACCCGCUGAACUUAAGCAUAUCAUUAAGCGGAGGA